AGAGACAGCAGUAGCCACGGGAAUACAGAGGGUGCGAGCGUUAAUCGGAUUUACUGGGCGUAAAGCGUGCGUAGGCGGCUUCUUAAGUCGGAUGUGAAAUCCCUGAGCUUAACUUAGGAAUUGCAUUCGAUACUGGGAAGCUAGAGUAUGGGAGAGGAUGGUAGAAUUCCAGGUGUAGCGGUGAAAUGCGUAGAGAUCUGGAGGAAUACCGAUGGCGAAGGCAGCCAUCUGGCCUAAUACUGACGCUGAGGUACGAAAGCAUGGGGAGCAAACAGGAUUAGAUACCCCGGUAGUCCCUGUCUCUUAUAC
rnacentral:rRNA from 1 species